UCUCCCCUCCUCGCUCUCGGGAUGCUCGCGGCCUCGGUCUUGUCCCGGCUCUGAAUCGUCUCCUGUUGUUGCUCUCAUAGAGGUGAAGACGCAGGAAGACAGGAUAAACCCCAUGGAAGAAUGCAAAGGAGCGCAGGGCUCCGCGAGCCUACCUGGAGAAAGCUCUUACCAGGAGCAUGCUGACCUCAUCUGUAAAAACUACAAAUCAAAUUAAAGAACUUGGAAGACCUA